rnacentral:rRNA from 1 species
CAGCAGCCACGGUAAUACGAAGGGUGCAAGCGUUAAUCGGAAUUACUGGGCGUAAAGCGUGCGUAGGCGGUGAGUUAAGUCUGCUGUGAAGUCCCCGGGCUCAACCUGGGAAUGGCAGUGGAUACUGGCUCGCUAGAGUGUGUCAGAGGAUGGUGGAAUUCCCGGUGUAGCGGUGAAAUGCGUAGAGAUCGGGAGGAACAUCAGUGGCGAAGGCGGCCAUCUGGGACAACACUGACGCUGAGGCACGAAAGCGUGGGGAGCGAACAGGAUUAGAUACCCCCGUAGUCCCUGUCUCUUAUAC